rnacentral:rRNA from 1 species
GAUAAACGCUGGCGGCGUGCUUAAUACAUGCAAGUCGAACGGAGAUUGUAGCAAUACGGUCUUAGUGGCGAACGGGUGAGUAACGCGUUGGUGACCUGCCCCGAAGUGAGGGAUAACAGUUCGAAAGGAUUGCUAAUACCCCAUGUGGUCAUUGGGAUUAGAUGCCCGAUGACUAAAGGAGAAAUUCGCUUUGGGAGGGGCCUGCGUCCCAUCAGCUAGUUGGUAAGGUAAUGGCUUACCAAGGCUAUGACGGGUAGGGGACCUGAGAGGGUGGCCCCCCACACUGGCACUGAAACACGGGCCAGACACCUACGGGUGGCUG